rnacentral:rRNA from 1 species
GAUGAACGCUGGCGGCGUGCCUAAUACAUGCAAGUCGAGCGAACAGACGAGGAGCUUGCUCCUCUGACGUUAGCGGCGGACGGGUGAGUAACACGUGGAUAACCUACCUAUAAGACUGGGAUAACUUCGGGAAACCGGAGCUAAUACCGGAUAAUAUAUUGAACCGCAUGGUUCAAUAGUGAAAGACGGUUUUGCUGUCACUUAUAGAUGGAUCCGCGCCGCAUUAGCUAGUUGGUAAGGUAACGGCUUACCAAGGCAACGAUGCGUAGCCGACCUGAGAGGGUGAGCGGCCACACUGGGACUGAGACACGGUCCAGACUCAUACGGGAGGCAGCCGUAGGGAAUCUUCCGCAAUGGGCGAAAGCCUGACGGAGCAACGCCGCGUGAGUGAUGAAGGUCUUCGGAUCGUAAAACUCUGUUAUUAGGGAAGAACAAAUGUGUAAGUAACUAUGCACGUCUUGACGGUACCUAAUCAGAAAGCCACGGCUAACUACGUG